GAUGAACGCUAGCUACAGGCUUAACACAUGCAAGUCGAGGGGCAGCAGGGAUUUAGCUUGCUAAAUUCGCUGGCGACCGGCGCACGGGUGCGUAACGCGUAUCCAACUUUCCCGUUACUCUCGGAUAGCCUUCCGAAAGGGAGAUUAAUACGAGAUGGUGUUUUAAUUCCGCAUGUUAUUAAAACUAAAGAUUUAUCGGUAACGGAUAGGGAUGCGUGACAUUAGAUAGUUGGCGGGGUAACGGCCCACCAAGUCUACGAUGUCUAGGGGUUCUGAGAGGAAGGUCCCCCACACUGGAACUGAGACACGGUCCAGACUCCUACGGGAGGCAGCAGUGAGGAAUAUUGGUCAAUGGCCGAGAGGCUGAACCAGCCAAGUAGCGUGAAGGAUGAAGGUUCUAUGGAUUGUAAACUUCUUUUAUACGGGAAUAACAUCACCUACGUGUAGGUGCCUGCAUGUACCGUAUGAAUAAGCAUCGGCUAACUCCGUGCCAGCAGCCGCAGUAAUAC
rnacentral:rRNA from 1 species